rnacentral:lncRNA from 1 species
GGUGCAGGGAUGAGUUCAGGCGUAUAGAGAAAAACUCAGAAGAAGAGAGGAAGAAACCAAGAAGGGAAAAAGGAUCUCUAGAUUGGAGAAGAAAGCAACAAUUCUAAUUUCUUUUUCAUUCAUCCUUUUUUUAGUCUAAAGUCUUGUGGGCUUUUAUAGACUGAAUAAAUCCUAUCCAACAAUUUAAUUUCAAAUCUAGAUAAGAUAAUAAAUUUUAAAUCUA